ACUGUGGAGUGCUGUGCAAACUGGAGUAGCUUAGGCAAAACAGAGUACGUUGAAGCAGUAA
rnacentral:sRNA from 22 species